rnacentral:rRNA from 1 species
CCUACGGGCGGCAGCAGUGGGGAAUAUUGCACAAUGGGCGCAAGCCUGAUGCAGCCAUGCCGCGUGUGUGAAGAAGGCCUUCGGGUUGUAAAGCACUUUCAGCGGGGAGGAAGGCGUUAAGGUUAAUAACCUUGUCGAUUGACGUUACCCGCAGAAGAAGCACCGGCUAACUCCGUGCCAGCAGCCGCGGUAAUACGGAGGGUGCAAGCGUUAAUCGGAAUUACUGGGCGUAAAGCGCACGCAGGCGGUCUGUCAAGUCGGAUGUGAAAUCCCCGGGCUCAACCUGGGAACUGCAUUCGAAACGGGCAGGCUAGAGUCUUGUAGAGGGGGGGAGAAUUCCAGGUGUAGCGGUGAAAUGCGUAGAGAUCUGGAGGAAUACCGGUGGCGAAGGCGGCCCCCUGGACAAAGACUGACGCUCAGGUGCGAAAGCGUGGGGAGCAAACAGGAUUAGAUACCCGUGUAGUC